GCCGAUCCGCCACGAGCCGCCAUCGCAAGUCAAUGACGAAGAGAGAGAGAGCCGCGAGGAGGAGUGGGUCGCGCCACCCAGUCGCCGUCGUCGUCUUCGCCGCGCCGCCGUCAGCCAUGGGUGAAGCAGAAGAGAGUGUGCGAAAAGAGAGAGACCGACGGGAGAGCAUGCGCGCGGGAAGGGAGAAGUCAGUUCUGUCAUCGUCGUCGCAGAGAACGCCCACCGCCACUGCACCACGCCUCGCCGCUACCGCCGCGCCGUUGCUGCAAAUUGUGCCACGGCUGGGGUUUGUCCCCGCAGUCAACUGGGUCGCCAGGAGAAGCAGAACAAAACAGAGGGAAACGCGAAGGAGGAUGACGAAGGCCACCAUCGCUGCUAUUGCCGUCGCUGGGGUCGUCGGAUGCCACCGUGACCACCACUGAACUCUACGCUGCCGUUAGUCACUGAUAGAGGUUGAAUAUUGACGCUAGUGUUGUCGUGGGACUGCUGAAGCUGCUGUUACUAUUUUGUCACUGCUAUGGUUUUCAUGUUCUAAUUUUAAUUCAAUUCUAGUCCUUACUUUGUCUUGAAUCCCAGGGUUGUAAUUGCUUUUAAUUCCUAUCCAAUUUGAAUCUUCUAUUUUGCUGCAACCAUGGCCACUGCUGUGAAGACUAAUAUUGUCGCUGUUCCGGUUGCUGCCACUGCCGUUCCAGUUGCGUGAGAGUCACAGCUGCUGCCAUGAAUUAAAAGGAGAGGAAAUUAUCACGAUAAAUUUAUGCGAACUCGGCUAAUCGAGGUCUUUUCUUUUUCAGGUUAUAUGCGACAAAGUUUGGAAGAGCUUAUUUAUUUCCAUUUCUGUUCUAAACGAUAUUUGUGUUGUAUUAGUUACUUUUUCCCUCGUCUUUAUCUUUACAAGUUUUAUAAGAGAGAUAUAAUUCUGAUUAUGUAAUGCUUGUGAAAUUAACAAUAUGUAUAUAUAUGUAUUUUUUGUGAGUAUUAUAAUUUGUAAUGUAUGGAUGUAAGCUUUGAAAAAAAUAUAUGGUUUAAGUUUUAAAUAGGCUCCUAUUUUAGUAUUAAAUAUGUUUAGAGUCGUCGUAAUAUCCAAUUUAUCAGAGUGCUGCAGCCGGAAGCAUGACGUUCUGAUAAUGAGGGUGUUACAAAGUUAUUAGCCACUCAUCUUCUCAUCUUCUCCCAUCGCAGAACGCAGGACUAGUACUUCAAGCACGACAUCAGCGUCGCUGUCGUAACGUUUGUAAGCUGGGACCAUCUGAAGAUAGGUCCUCUAGCCGCCGCCAAGACAACCACCUCCUCGUCAUCGUUAGCUUGCCACCGUGGCCUUGGUUAGUCGCCCUGAUCUUAAUUUGUGUCGUGAUUGCAUAAUGUAUAACUGAUUUGUUCAUUCAAUAUUCAAUUUUUCAUAGAUAAGUAGUGUUAAAUUUUAAUCUAUGAAUUGAAAGCUUGAGAUUUUUGUAUAAUUUUUUUUACUUUCAUAACUUUGAGACGAUGGUUAUACUGCAAUUUGUGAUAUUGAAAUCAUCCCUGCUGGUAUUUAUCUAGCUGUAGAAAUCUGCGAAUUGAAUUACUUUUGCAUUGUUUGUGUAUUCUAUGAAUUGAAUCUGCGAGACCAUCCCUGCUUGUACUACAUUUUGUAGAAUUCCAAAAAUACUACAUUUUGUAAUCACGUAGAUUUGAGGACUGGACAUUUAUUUUUAUUAGACUAGAAAAUCGUUCAUUUAGGUGACUACAAUUUUCUAGCCUAAUAAGAACAAGUGUCCACUCCUCAAAUCUACGUGACUACAAAAUGUAGUACAAGCAGGGAUGGUCUCGCAGAUUCAAUUCAUAGAAUACACAAACAAUGCAAAAGUAAUUCAAUUCGCAGAUUUCUACAGCUAGAUAAAUACAAGUAGGGAUGAUUUCAAUACCACAAAUUGCAGUAUAACCAUCAUCUCAAAGUUAUGAAGGUAAAUAAAUUAUACAAAAAUCUCAGGACUUCAAUUCAUAGAUUAAAAUUUAAUACUACUUAUCUAUGAAAAAUUGAAUAUUGAAUGAACAAAUCAGUUAUACAUUAUGCAAUCACGACACAAAUUAAGAUCAGGGCGACUAACCAAGGUCACUGUGGCAAGCUAAUGAUGACGAGGAGGUGGUUGUCCUGGCGGUGGCUAGAGGACCUAUCUUCAGAUGGUCCUGCAUUGGCAAAAGAAGAGAAAGAGAAUAUGAGAACACAGUGGAAAAGAAGAUGAUGGUCCUGUGUUGGCUAAACGGCGACUCACCCAGUUUACAAACGCUACAACAGGGAUGCUGAUGUCGUGCUCGGCGUACUAGUCCUGCGUUCUGUGAUGGGAGAAGAUGAGUGGCUACUAACUUAAGCGUGCGACGGCAACUCACGGUGGCUACCAUGGCAACGAGGUGGUGGUCCUGGCGUGGGCGACGGAGUAGCGGCUCUAGCUGAGAAGAUGAUGGUUUCCUAAACCGAGGAGAUGAGCAAAUAAGAUAAGUAGAUAACUGAACCCUAAUUUGAUUUGGCAAAGGGUACACUUGGAAUUAGCAAUUUUGAAUGUGGGUAUUUUGGACAGGGUUGUAGUUAUUUUAUAUAAAAAAUAUUAAUUCAGACCGGUUUCAAAAUUUAGUUUAUCUAAUUUUCAAUCGAACCGAUUUAUUUGGUCUAACUUGAACAAAAUUAAUAUGGUUUAACUAAGAGAAAGUAUGAGGAGCCAAUGUAAUUAGUGUACAAUGUAUAUAAUAGAAGUAUUUUUGAAAUUAACAUUAGAUGUUAAUUAAAUUAAUUAAUUA